CUUAACCAUUUUUUUUUAGUGAAUUUGACUGAUAUUUAUUAGCACUUUGCUCAAGGCGAAAAGACUGAGAAAAACACAGCAAAACAGUAUCACGAAAAGACAAUACAACCAAAAAUCAAAUAAAUGAACAGCAACAUGAAACCACAAAACAACAAAGAAAAUAAAACAACUAGCAAAACAAACAAAGAAAUAAAAGCACCUAGGGACAAUCAAACCCAAAAAUGAAAAAAAAAAAACGCCCUAAGCCAAAUAAUCAGAAGCAUUCUGCCAAAUAUCAACCGACCAUCUUCUUCAACCUCUGAGAAAACACUAGUAAAAAAGAAGAACGAAAGCUUUGAACCUGACCUGGAGAUUCAGCGAACCUUCUCCAUUAUUCAAAGCGCAUCAAGGGGGACUAUGGUAAUUCUGGUUCUAGUCCAAACGGUCCUUCAUCGCCCUCGCCUCCACAGCAUCGGGCACUCCAUUUACCCAAACACCAAAGCGCUGACUUCUCCAACCUUCCAGUGCCAACAUGUGAGCCACUUCAUUAGCCAUACAAGGUACAAAACGGGAAUCACCCUCCACAAUCAGUCGCCGGAAGCCCAUCGAACCCGCAAAAAUUAAUGCCCUUUCGCAUGCCCUCGCUUCAGCCAAAAAGGCAUCAACAACA